ACCACUGGUGCUCCUCCAGGGGCAGGAGCUGAGCUCUAAUAGAUAGGUGCUCGGAGAAUGUGCCCUCAGCCCCUCCUUCCUUCCUAAGGCGCCAGAUCACAGAGGUUAUCAAGAAUUAAGUCUUUACGGCUGGGAUCCCGGAUCCGUCAUUUACCCUGCUGCUCCUGGACACCCCUCUGUGAAAAUGAGCAGAGAAGUCCUGCCUGUGAUGGAACGAUGGAGCUUCUCGGAGUCCUGAGACAUUGGCUAUCUGGGAGACAACGACUUCCUAACCAGUGACAUGUGCACGAAUACCAAUGAAUACUUGGUUUAACAUCAUGAGAUGUCCGUGAAUAAAAAUGGCAAGAAAGGAAUAUGGGAUUAAAUAUUUACCUUUGACCUAACAUAUUCAUUGUUAAACAACAACAACAAAUAUCAUCAAAACCGAGAAGCAGUCAGAGCUCAGAGACCUGAGGGGGAACCUUAGUAAAGCAGCACGUGAUGGCCCUCACCUUCCAGCAAAAGGUGCCUCAUUAAGGGAACAGUCAAGGACAAUUUUACUUACCCUUGGA